AGAUGAGCCAAAGAGUUAGGAGGCUAUCUUUUCCUCGGGAUCGAGAAGGUCCAUCAUCCGGAUCGUCCUCACGACCAUCUCGGAGUCAGUUAUCUCUACAUGGAUCCUCACCAAUUGAAGAUAUUGCGGGGACAUCUCAAAUGGGUACA